rnacentral:rRNA from 1 species
AGUGAACGCUGGCGGUAGGCCUAACACAUGCAAGUCGAACGGCAGCACAGGAGAGCUUGCUCUCUGGGUGGCGAGUGGCGGACGGGUGAGGAAUACAUCGGAAUCUACUCUGUCGUGGGGGAUAACGUAGGGAAACUUACGCUAAUACCGCAUACGACCUACGGGUGAAAGCAGGGGACCUUCGGGCCUUGCGCGAUUGAAUGAGCCGAUGUCGGAUUAGCUAGUUGGCGGGGUAAAGGCCCACCAAGGCGACGAUCCGUAGCUGGUCUGAGAGGAUGAUCAGCCACACUGGAACGGAGACACGGUCCAGACUCCUACGGGAGGCAGCAGUGGGGAAUAUUGGACAAUGGGCGCAAGCCUGAUCCAGCCAUACCGCGUGGGUGAAGAAGGCCUUCGGGUUGUAAAGCCCUUUUGUUGGGAAAGAAAGCCAUCUGGUUAAUACCCGGGUGGGAUGACAGUACCCAAAGAAUAAGCACCGGCUAACUUCGUGCCAGCCGCCGCCGUAA